rnacentral:tRNA from 1 species
GCGGGUAUAGUUCAAUGGUAGAACCACAGCCUUCCAAGCUGUUGAUGCGGGUUCGAUCCCCGCUACCCGCUCCA